GUAACCUGCCUGUAAGACUGGGAUAACUCCGGGAAACCGGAGCUAAUACCGGAUAGUUCCUUGAACCGCAUGGUUCAAGGAUGAAAGACGGUUUCGGCUGUCACUUACAGAUGGACCCGCGGCGCAUUAGCUAGUUGGUGGGGUAAUGGCUCACCAAGGCAACGAUGCGUAGCCGACCUGAGAGGGUGAUCGGCCACACUGGGACUGAGACACGGCCCAGACUCCUACGGGAGGCAGCAGUAGGGAAUCUUCCGCAAUGGACGAAAGUCUGACGGAGCAACGCCGCGUGAGUGAUGAAGGUUUUCGGAUCGUAAAGCUCUGUUGUUAGGGAAGAACAAGUGCGAGAGUAACUGCUCGCACCUUGACGGUACCUAACCAGAAAGCCACGGCUAACUACGUGCCAGCAGCCGCGGUAAUACGUAGGUGGCAAGCGUUGUCCGGAAUUAUUGGGCGUAAAGGGCUCGCAGGCGGUUUCUUAAGUCUGAUGUGAAAGCCCCCGGCUCAACCGGGGAGGGUCAUUGGAAACUGGGAAACUUGAGUGCAGAAGAGGAGAGUGGAAUUCCACGUGUAGCGGUGAAAUGCGUAGAGAUGUGGAGGAACACCAGUGGCGAAGGCGACUCUCUGGUCUGUAACUGACGCUGAGGAGCGAAAGCGUGGGGAGCGAACAGGAUUAGAUACCCUGGUAGUCCACGCCGUAAAC
rnacentral:rRNA from 2 species